UGGGGAAUAUUGCACAAUGGAGGGAACUCUGAUGCAGCGACGCCGCGUGAACGAAGAAGGCUUUCGAGUCGUAAAGUUCUUUUAUAUGGGAAGAUAAUGACGGUACCAUAAGAAGAAGCCCCGGCUAACUACGUGCCAGCAGCCGCGGUAAUACGUAGGGGGCUAGCGUUGUCCGGAAUCACUGGGCGUAAAGGGUUCGCAGGCGGAAAUGCAAGUCAGGUGUAAAAGGCAGUAGCUUAACUACUGUAAGCAUUUGAAACUGCAUAUCUUGAGAAGAGUAGAGGUAAGUGGAAUUUUUAGUGUAGCGGUGAAAUGCGUAGAUAUUAAAAAGAAUACCGGUGGCGAAGGCGACUUACUGGGCUCAUUCUGACGCUGAGGAACGAAAGCGUGGGUAGCAAACAG
rnacentral:rRNA from 1 species